rnacentral:rRNA from 1 species
GCUCAUAAAUUAAUUUUGAGUGAGGCCUGCCCAGUGAAUCUUAAAUAAAAUUAUAAAAUAAUUUGUUAAUGAUUUAAACGGACGCGGUAACUCUGACCGUGAUAAUGUAGCAUAAUCAUUUGCUUCUUAAUUAGAGGAUAGUAUGAAUGGCUGAACGAAUAUUCCAUUUUUUUAAUAAAAAUUUUUUAAAAUUGAAAUAAUAGUUAAGAUACUAUUUAAAAUUGUAAGACGAAAAGACCCUGUAGAGCUUUACUAUUAUUUUUUUUAAUAUUUAAAAAGAGAGGUAGUUUAAUUGGGGCGAUUAUUUUUUAAAAUUACCGAAAAUAAGUAAAAUUAAUAUUUAAUUUAUUGUAUAAUUAAUUAAUUUAACAGUUACAAAAGUAGACUAUAAUGACCCAUUAAUAUUAUAAAUUAAGUUAAUGAUCAAUAAAUAAAAGUUACCUCAGGGAUAACAGGAUAAUUUUGUAUUAGAGCUCUUAUCGUAUACAAAGUUUAUCACCUCUAUGUUGAAUUAAGAUAUCCUAAUGAUGCAAAAGUUAUUGAGGGUAGGUCUGUUCGACCUUUAAAAUCUU